rnacentral:rRNA from 1 species
CACGUAGGGAGCAAGCGUUGUCCGGAUUUAUUGGGCGUAAAGAGCUCGUAGGUGGUUCGGUAAGUCAGGUGUGAAACCUCCAGGCUCAACCUGGAGACGCCACUUGAUACUGCUGUGACUGGAGUCCGGUAGGGGAGCGUGGAAUUCCUGGUGUAGCGGUGAAAUGCGCAGAUAUCAGGAGGAACACCAAUGGCGAAGGCAGCUCGCUGGGACGUGACUGACGCUGAGACGCGAAAGCGUGGGGAGCAAACAGG